rnacentral:lncRNA from 1 species
GAGAGUUCCAUAAUCCUAUACAGAAUUUAAAAAUAAGAGAAAGAGUAAGAAGACAAAAAAGCUUAGGGUGUUCUAAUGAGACAGGUAAAUCUUUCUUAAAUUUUACAGGAAACUAAAGAAAAAAGAGAACAAGAAAUGAGCUGUCUUUUAACUCAAGCACUUACAUACAUAAAACUUAUUACUGGUCGCCAGCCACAUUACAGAAGGAUUAACCUGAAUAAUGAUUAUUGAUUUUGUCUGCCUUCUCAAUCGAAACUCAUUGCGUGUAUCCAUCCCACGUAAUCCUAUCUGAAUUGAAACAGCAGAGGAAUCCACAACCAUUGUCUUUCUAGGAAACCUUAAAGACGCAUUACAAACUUCUACUCUUAUAAUCACCAUACGUAAUGUAAUCCAACCUGCUGCAACCCCAUACGUGAAUUACCAAAACCUAAGUAUAUUGGAUUACCCUUUCUAUAACUCUUCAAAAACCAAAGGAAGAACAUUGUACAUACAAUUAUAAAAAUAUAUUUUGAGUUCCUUCCUCCUGGUGUUUCGAUCUGCCUGAAUAUGUACAUGAGCUAUUUGCAUAAAGAAAGAAAAAAACUACUCUUUUAUCUCCUUUGACUAUUUAGUCAUCACUGGAAAGUGCAAAAAACUAACCUUUUAAAAAAAGAGGGGGGGGGGGGGAGGAGGGGGGGUAUACAAAGUUCUCUUCUGCUUCAACACAAACUGCUUUGACCAAUGAAUUGAUCCAUCACUUUACUACACUAACUUUUAUCUACUGUACAGUGCUCCAACUACAUUUAAGUCCUCAAGUAAUUUAACGACAAUUGGCUAAAUGCUUUGAUCUCUACUUACCUAAAUAGAAGGUCAUUGAGACUAUUUCUUUGCAUACUACAAGUGCAUAGGUAUAGGCUUUCCCCUGUUGAGAAUGACAUAAGACUUUAAUUAAUAGACUUUUAUUUGGAGUAGUAGUUUUUAAGUGUUAUUGGAGCCUUCAUACCAGUCAUGUUCAAGUAUCUUAAAUUUUGUAGGGACCAAUUUCUAGUAUGGUACUGAACUUUACCCACAAUAAUAAUAAAAUUACUACCAAACUCAGUUAAUAAGCACAUCAAGAAACUGAUAAGUACCUAUAUAAGCCAUCUCUCCCCAAGCAUAACAAGAUAUUACAGAUUUUAUGUUGCAAUAACCACCCCUUAAUCGGGGACGAUCUCUACAAGAGUAAUCUUAAUUGGUUGCCAUUCGGAUUGAGGUUGUAUAAGCCAUUCUUAAUAGCCAUCUGCAAGAUCUGAAGUAUUUUGCCUAAAGCAAACUCCUUUAGGCAUAAUUUCUUAAUAAAUUAUAGCUGCUUCAAACCUAGUGAAAGAUCAAGUAAAUAAGCAAGCUCGGGAUUGGCAUAUAACAGCCAGAUACACAUGAGGAAGCAUCUUUUCUUUUCUUUCGAAAAGGUAAAUCAAACCUAGUGAAAGAUAAAGUAAAUAAGCAAGCUCAGGAUUAGGAUAUAACAGCCAGAUACACAUGAGGAGGCAUCUUUUCUUUUCUUUUGAAAAGGUCAAAUAGACCGACACAAGGAACCAUUUUUAGAGGACCUAACAAAGAUAAGAUAUGCUUAGCAUUAUCCUGAUCACAAUUGACUUUUACACAAUACAAUUGUGUGCUUUGAAUAAACACCCUGGACGUCACACGGUGUUUACAAUCCCGAAGGACCACAAGCUAACCCAUGACUGGUACCUGCUGUGAGCACUGAAUGAUAAUACUGAUAACAUACGCAGAAAUAUAACUGAAAUGUCAUAAGGUUCUCAAGAUACUGAAAUAAAUACUAAAUACUGAUAGUAAUACUGAAAAACUGAGCAUCUGUCUGAAAUAGUCUAGUCCAGAAGCCUCUAACUGUCUGAACAUGGAGUUGAUGGAACAAGUGAUACGAGUACGAUCGUGAUUGUGGAUCAAUACGUAAAGAACCCGUGCUCGAGUGACUAGCCAACUAAUGGAACAAGCUUUAGAGUGUUGGCUCAUUAAGGGCAUUUUAAUCAUUUUGUCAUAAGUUGUAACCUAGGCUAUAAAUAGAACAUAUUAGGUCAUUUUCUCAUAACUUAGAUGAUAUUUUGAGAGCUCUUUGAGAGUGUUCAUACAAGUGUGGAUAUCACUUGUGAUAAGUGUGGAAUCACUUGUGUUGGUUGCUUGUUUUGAAACGUUGGUUGCUUGGGGAUUCCGUUCCCUUGAGGUCACCAUAAGAAUUUGAUGUUAUUUGUAUGAAUUCUUGGAUCUUAGUAUUCAAUAUACACUUUGGUUCAUAGUGUUUGUGCAUUGUGUGUCAAGUUAUCUAUCAUUCUAUCUUAUUAUUGUUAUUGUGUUCAUUCUCAAUUUUGGGUGUCCAACCCGAGAUCUUGUUGUGUCAUUUUUGUUCUUGUUAUUGUGUUGUAAUCUUAGUUUGUGGCUCGCUGAUUAUAGGUGUUGAAAACCUUAGAAUCUUAUUGUUAUCGUGCUUGUAUUGUUAUUGUGUAGUGAAUUCGAGAGGGGUCAUCAAAAGGGGUCCUCGGUUCUUCAAAUCAUGGACUAUUUUGGUGUGUGUUAGUGUCUUCCUUGUCGAUCUUGUAUCAUUUGGUAUCAAAACAUGCUUGAUUUCGUUUUCACAAGAUCAAUCUAGCUUAAAAAUACAAAAAAAAAAAAAAAGUGUAGAAGUUGUUCUUGUUCUUGGCCGAGACAUGUUUCUUUGUGGCUAGAUCUUGUAGUCUUUUGUUUGUUUAGAUUGUUUCUAGUGUUGGUUUCUUUCUCACCAACACUAAAGUGUCUAGAUCUAAAGGUUUGAGCUUAUGUUGUUGAGAUCUUAUUGUUCUUCACAUCUUGACAUCUCUUAAUCAAUAUAAAGUAUAACAUAAAUCAACCACUUUUCCAUAUUUCAAGGACGUUGUUUUGUGGAAAUAGUAAAGUCAAGUCUCACUUUUUGAGUUGGAAUUUGAAAAAGUUUUUAAGACUUGAAUUUUUCCACCAAAAGGCAAACUCAUCCAUCCAAAUUGUAUCAAGACAAAAGCUUCAAAUUGGUGAUUAAAAAAAAAAUUGGGUGGGACCGCGACCAAUUACGUGGCUGCCACGUCAUCACGUUCUACUGUUCACGCAACAUAAGUAAGCUCGAAUUUUUUAAUUUCUUAGUUUCUAAUCUUUGUUUCUUAGUUGCAUUUUGUUGAUUCUAUUGCUAAUUAACAAACUAGUAAUUGUCUACUAGGUUGUAAAUUAGUUUUGGGUCCAUUUAUUCGUGUCUACGUUUCUUUGUGUGCUUUUAUCUUUUCGAAAAUUCGUUGUAGCCUUUUGACUCAAAUACGUACAAAUUUAUUUUGAGUCGUUGCAAACAAAAAUCCAUUCCGACCUUAAGCCGCAAGUGUGACCAAGUAACUUCAUUGGAGUAAAAACGGUGUACCAACACUUGUGAGACCAAUUGAGUGAUACUUCAAAAAGUGUGAGCUUGAGAGUUAGUGAGGGUGAUUUUUGCUAACCUUAACUUGUUAUUGUUUGUGUUUUGUUUAGUAUUUCUUAUUAGGUACAAUGGCUUCGGGUGAAGGUAGUCCAAGAGCCUCGAGAGAGGUAACCAUGGAUGCUUUGUUAGCGGCCAUAAUGAGCGUGAAACAUGAUCUUAGUGGUCGAAUGGAGAGAAUGGAGGAGACUAUGGACGGGAUGGAGGGUUUCUUUUCAAGGAGAAUGGAUACAUUGGAAGAUCGUUUAGAUUCCAACCAUUCAAGUCCGAAACACUACCAUGCCUCGACUAGUGGACAUGCUACCAACCCGGAUACAUUUCCCCAAUUGCUCAAUCCACCUAGACCAACCCAUGAACCCAUCCACCAAGUCCCUACUUAUCCAAAAAACCGAAGUCCAUCAAGAAGCUUCCCAAAUCCUAGACCCCCUUGAUAUGCCGAGAGCACCACUAAACCAAAACCAACCAAUACAAAUUGAUGAUGUGGAAGGUGAAGGGUCUUUAUGGAGGUGAGGGGUUAGAUGAAGCAACUCUCUUUGCAGAAUUUGUGCGCAAUAGAAGAAGAGCUUAUGGCGGGGGACAUAGAGGCCGAGGGGGAAGAGUUGGACCGGCUCCUCAUGGUAGGAGCAACUUGGGACAACGACCUCAUGUUCAAGAAGGUCUAGUGGACCAAGGAGGCAAUGUGGGUAGAGACACGGGCCUAAAUUCCAUUAAGAUCACUCUUCCUUCUUUCAAAGGGACUAGUGAUCCAUCUCUCUAUCUUGAUUGAGAGUUACAAUGUAAUCGGACUUUCCAACUCAACGAGUUAACUUCACAAAAGAAAGUCGCACAUGCCAUUGCUCAAUUUGAAGGUUAUGCAUCCACUUGGUGGGAGACAAAGCGGUUGCAACGGGCAAGGAAUGACAAUCUUGACCUUCCGAAUUGGGAUGAAUUGAAAGCUCUUAUGAGGGAGAGAUAUGUCACGGAAAGGUAAAAACAAGAGCAGCUAGCAAAGCUCUACAACUUAAGGCAAGGAGAUAGAAGUGUGGAGGAGUAUUAUGAUAAGUUUCAAAACUUGAUCCUACAUCUUGACAUAGUCGAACCUCCAAAUCAUUGCCUAGCUCGGUUCAAGGGUGGCUUGUGCUAUGAAGUUGUUUCUCAAUUAGUUGUCCACAAGUUUGACCGAAUUGAGGACCUUGUAGAAGCGGCCAUUGAAGUUGAAAGGAACAACCAUGCUAAGAACACCUUCGGGUGGGACAAGUCCUACAAGCCCUUAGAGAAGAAGCCAUUUGAUAAAACAAUCCAAAGGUAUCCACGACUUGAAGGUACUAAUUCUUCCACUCCUAAUCCUAAGGGUAUCGUUUGUUUUAAAUGUCAAGGUUGGGGUCACAAAGCUAGCGAGUGCCCAAACCGAAGGAACAUUGUACUAAUGGAUGGUGAUCCUUAUUUUGUUGGGGAUAAAGUGACCAAAACUGAUGUUAGUGAAGGAACUCCUCAAGAGGAUGAUGGAGAUGAUGGAGAUGAUGGUGAACCCGAGAGGGUGCUGGAAGAAGGGGAAGUUAAUGUGCCUUGCAGAUUGAUGAGGAGAACAACUCAUGUUGAUGCUUGGCCCGAAGAAGGUGAGGUCUUGAUUCCACCUUGACCUCUUGAUGAUCAAGAACCCAAGAGUACACUAUGGUCCUUGCUCCAAGGAAGUACUCUUUUCUUUUGGUCUUGUUUUUUGUCACGCUUAGGUGGAUAGACAAGUAUUUCUUUUAGUGCUUAGAAGGGUAUCUUAUUCCCUAAGUUCCCACGGUAUGUGUAGAAUAUACACUCGUGGUUUGAUAUUUUUUUGUUGAUUAUGCUAACUUUAACCCUCUCGUCAUGAGGAAUAUGUGUUCUUUUGUCUCCUUUAUUGUUUUGAAGGUUCGGAUUCGAGGUCGAAUCCUUUUUCAAGAAGAGGAGGAUGAUACGAGUACGAUCGUGAAUGUCGAUCAAUACGUAAAGAACUCGUGCUCGGGUGAUUGGCCAACUAAUGGAACAAGCUCUGGAGUGUUGGCUCAUUAAGGGCAUUUUAGUCAUUUUGUAAUAAGUUGUAACCUAGGCUAUAAUUAGAACAUAUUAGGUCAUUUUCUCAUAACUUAGAUGAUAUUUUGAGAGCUCUUAGAGAGUGUUCAUACAAGUGUGGAUAUCACUUGUGAGAAGUGUGGAAUCACUUGUGUUGGUUGCUUGUUUUGAAACGUUGGUUGCUUGGGGAUUCCGUUCCCUUGAGGUCACAGUAAGAACUUGAUGUUAUUUGUAUGAAUUCUUGGGUCUUAGUGUUCAAUAUACACUUUGGUCCAUAGUGUUUGUGCAUUGUAUUUGUUAUUGUGUUGAAAUCUUAGUUUGUGGUUCGCUGAUUAUAGGUGUUGAACACCUUAGAAUCUUAUUGUUAUCGUGUUUGUAUUGUUAUUGUGUAGUGAAUCAGAGAGGGGUUACCAAAAGGGGUCCUCGGUUCUUCAAAUCAUGGACUGUUUUGGUGUGUGUUAGUGUCUUCCUUGUCGAUCUUGUAUCAACAAGUCCCCAACUAACUCCGACUACUGAACUACUGGAAUGUUGAAAUAAUAACUGUCCUCAAAAUAUAAGGACUCACCAAUAUAACUGUUGUUGAUAACCUGAGCUGCAAAGUAUGGUAGGAGCCCGUGCGUCUGAACCUAUGAUAUGAGACAUCAUAGCACAAAAGAAAGAGUAUGCGUCAGUACUUUGAAUGUACUGGUAUGCUAAGUGAGGUAGGGUGAUAUACAUAGGUUCAUAUGCAUAAGAUGAUAACAGACUGAAUGAACAUCAUGAAAUAACUAAAUAAGAGUACAUGCAAAAACUGUAACUACUAAUCAUGCUGAAUAUGCAAUACUGUGCAACUAACCUCUGCCUAAAUUAGACUGAAACUGAAGUACUAAAUUAUGGUGGCUAAGUAACUGAUAGCCAUGGUUCUAUAGAACUAUCUGAGGUCUUUACUGAAUUCUGAGACUAAAUACUGAUUACUACGUAUUGAAUACUGAAAUCGUAACAGUGGGAGUGUUCAUCUAACCGACAUACCCCGAUUAUAAACUGAGUUGGGGUCCAACCUAUGACCCCAGUUGGAAGGGUGUUAGCACCGUGCCACGGGUACUAACAAUGGCUAUGUGGAUCCACUAAUGAAGCACCCUCAUCUGGCAGGUGAGAUAUGUGUUACCCUCAACUGGCAGGUGAACAAUUUAUCAACCCUCAACUGGCAGGUUGAUAUAUUUUAACCUACGCUAGCUAUGUAGUUCUGGAACUCAACUGGCAGUUUGAUAUAUUUUAACCUACGCUGGCUAUGUAGUUCUGGAACUAAGGGACAGCUACUAAAGAUCACACCCUCAACUGGCAGGUGAGCCCCCAUUCCUAGGUUCGCUUGGUGCUGAAUCCUACUCCCAACUGAAUAAACACUAAACUAAUCACUAGACUGUACUAGGCUUGACUGAACUGUUACUGCUCGUGUUGACUGACUAAACUGGACUGGGUUCACAGAGUUCUCUAACUGAAUGAGCACUACUGUUCGUGACACUAGUGAGAUCUGUAGCUACUGUAAUUCUAGGUAAACAGUUAGAUUUUUGGGUAUUGAAUACCCCCAGGACUCGAUAACAUCAAUAGUAUAACAUGGCAAAAUUUUGAAGGCAUUACAUUAAUUACUAUUCACCAUGCAUUCAUUUAGACAUUUUGUCAAACACUUGAGGGGCAUGAACUUGUACAUGAACGGGACCAUAUGGUAACAUGUCAUGAAUUCACUCUUUAAUUACCAUAGGCAUUCUAUCAAACACUUGGGAGCAUAAUUAGUGCACAUAGAAAUCAUCAAGGUAUCAACAUCGUAGCAACAACAUUCAACUUGCAAAUUCAGGGGUUUAACACGAGAAUCACAUAAUUCUACAUACAUGCUAAUUAAUUUACAAUUUUAUAUAAAAGGGAUUAUGAAACUAAGCUUUGUGAAAGCGAAAAUUUCAACAACAAAUAGAAUUCUUUUUUUUUUCUUUCCUUCUUUUUUUUUUUAAGAGCUACAUAUUUUUAUUAUACCCGGACAGUUAAGAUUCAAGUUUACACAAAGAGAUGCAAAGGAUGAACUUUCGUAUAAUGCAUACAUAGAGGAAUUAGGACAUGAUACUGUUCAUGCUCAACACUCUGAAGUAGGGAACUAGCUAGACAUGAGAAUAUUUGCAAGACAUAUUUGUCCAACACAAUUCAUUCACACACACACAAGGAAAUUGAGAGAUUCAAGAAACAUCAUGGAUGAAGAACGGAAGUCAACAGAUCAUUCAUUUCAAGCGAAGAGUUGGCAAUACAAAAAUGGACCAUGAAUUUAAGGUCAAAGGAAUUCCCUUUCCAUGGGUUAUGGAUGAAAUCCCUCACACCUAGAUAGGAUUCAUGUAAUCUUUCUACCACUUUGAUAUUAUUUAAAACCAAAUCCAAACCAUCCUAGAUGUAGGAUGAAUGGGUAAAUUAUUAAAACAAGACAAAGCUCAGACUUUGUCCUUUAUAAAACAAGAAUAGUACUUGAGAAACUCUUGAGAUUGAAGAUUGAAUUAGCGCAAAGCUCGAUUUUGUCCAACGUUUUACUCUAAAAAAAAAAGGGCCCUAAUAAUAACUAUUUCACUCGGGUUUUUUUCAAGCUUUCAAAGCAUAUUAACAAAAACAAGUAAGAUCUUUAGAUGCUCCCGAAACAUCAGCUUUAUCACAAGUUCAUGAAGGUCACGACAUGACAAAACAACGUAAAGGCUUACUGGAAAACAUUAUAUUAGCAACAAUUUUCAAUUCGAAGGCACUACCAACAAUCGAACAUAAGCUAUGUCUAGUUUUAUAACUGUUAGGUAGAGUAGUGAUCUCCUAAGGUGAUUUCUUAAUGAUAAACCCACUUAGUAUUAAAAUAGACUAAAUAAAAAAUUCCACUAUGCUUUACAGUCAAUCACCUUCCGUAGUACUAGUGAGAACAAAACUUGUUAAUAUUGACUCAUUUCAAUCUUAGGAAUUUCAUAUAACAUUAGGCUAUGUUUACCAUGUAGACCGAUCUCAAAACUCACAACUACAGUGAGAUUCACAUUACAAAUUACAAUCCUAGAAAUAGAAAAAAGACGAGUCUUUUUACCUUUUUGCGGGCAGCGAAUGGGACAGAACGAGCUUUGACGACGAACUUCCGUCACCACAAUUUGAUCCUGCUUCAACGGAAUUCAAACAAAGUCAUCGCAUUUCAAGAGUUGUGUUUCUCGAGAAUCUUGGUUACGUGAGCUUAAAAGCAAGCGCCUUCAGAACCCCAAUUUUUCCCCAAAAUCCUCUGCCUUUCUUCUUUUCAAUCUCCUCUAUUUAUAGAAGGAGAUACUGAUCUUUCAUCUUCAAAAUUUAAAAAUGGAGAAACACAUCCCUUAAAAUUCAGAUUUGACACUGUGACCUCGGACUUGGAUUGGAUUUUGGCAUGGAAGACACUCAAUUUUGAGCCAAAAGCCCACAACAAUGGCUCUAUCUCUGCAAAAUUACAGAGAUAAGAUGGAAAAGAGAGACUUUUCGGGAUUUGGGGGAUUUGUCGUUGAAUUUUGCUGUUAUCAUUUAACGGAUCAGAUUUUGACUGAAUCGGGUUGGUUGGAGUCGUUGUUGAAGGUGCUGACCGAGUCGCCGGUUCCGGGUACGGGUUGGAUGACACCGUCGUUUGUUGAAGUUGUUCCUGUUUGCAUUGAUAUUGUUGUUAAUCGGUUUUUGGGUGUGUUGUGCGUUGUUAUAGCUGAGGUUGUAGAUGACAAUCAGGUAAAGGGGAAUGGAUUUUAAAAGGGCCUUUGGGUCGGGUUGCUCUGUUGGGUAAAAAAUAAUAAAAUGGUUGGUCU